rnacentral:rRNA from 1 species
UACAGGGGGUGCAAACGUUGCUCGGAAUCAUUGGGCGUAAAGCGCACGUAGGCGGUCUGUUAUGUCGGAUGUGAAAGCCCUUGGCUCAAUUGAGGAAGUGCAUCCGAAACUGGCAGGCUAGAGUACGAAAGAGGAUCGCGGAAUUCCCGGUGUAGAGGUGAAAUGUGUAGAGAUCGGGAGGAACACCGGUGGCGAAGGCGGCCUUCUGGACGGUGACUGACGCUGAGGCGCGAAAGCGUGGGGAGCAAACGGG